GCGAGCCUAUCAGCGUUUGGUGUUCAAGGGGUGCAGAGCCCUGGAACUCAAUCGGGAAUGGGGAAGGGCGGACCCAGUUGCGGCGCCCGAAGCCUCAGCCGCCCCCGCGACUGUAUGCGGUAGCGGCCCUUCAUCAAGCCACUGGGCGACUGCCCGGGAAGGCGAAGGGCCGUGCUGAUCCGCGAGCCAGGAGACCGGCCAGACUUCGAUGAAACCCA
rnacentral:ncRNA from 14 species